CAGGAAACUUGACUUUGUCGUAAUAAAAUGGAUGAGAAUGACUGGUUGUUGGCUCACUGAUUGAACAGGUUGAUGGUAUCUCGCUCCCUCUUUUAGGACAUUACCACACUCAAAAAGGCAUGUUGUAAUGCAACAAAAUAGGAAAAACGCCAAGGGGGGUGACUACUUUUGCAUGUGUACACCAUCAGAUCUCGAGGAUUCAUCCAAAACCCUAUCUGGAGGAUUAUGGGUAAUGAGGGAGAAGAGAGAUGGACAGAGAAAGAAAGCUGCUGAUAGAAUGAUGGUUUGAACUUUUCCAGGAACCUCUGGGUUGAUGCCGACUUCCAGUCGGAAAAUAGCAGGGGGCAGCAUGGUUCUUCUGGAGAGUUUCUGGGGGUUGGAUGGUCCACUCUACAAAAAAUUUGACCUGGGCUUCGUGUUACAGGAGCAGACAGACAUCCCUCUCUCGCCGCAGACUGCUUCUUGACAGCCCCCACCCGCUGUUUGUGCCAAAGCCAGAACGAAGCAACCCACAUCAGCACUUCCAGCUUUCCUGCACAUUUCUGAGGAUCCUUGUGAAUCUCAAUCCAAAUUCUCAUUGAAAGCUCAAGCAAAACACUCACAGAUGAGCCUAAUGACUCUACAUGCAGGGCUUGCUACCAAACUUCUCUGAAGUUGAGAAAUGUUGCAUUUCAAAGCAGAUGUAUUGCUCAUUUCGAGAUUAACUUGAACCUCCUUAGAUUUGGGGUUUGGAGUAGAAGAGAGGCCAUAUUUCCCCCUAUAUUUCCCCCAACAAUGGAAAAGACAAACUGAAAUGACACUCUCCGGUUUCACCAAGCAUCUAGACAAACUGUACUGUUCGAUGCUGGGUUUGUUAGGUAUUCAUCAAAUAUUUUUUCCAGUGUAUCCAUCAGCAGGUGAACAUUCUUACUGUGUUUAUCUGUGCUCUUUCCUUUUAGACGCUAAUACACGUGUGCUUGGCAGCAGGCAGGCCUGCUGAGGGAUGGCCGGCCGGUGAAAAGCCCAACAGCCGUUGGAUUUGUAACUGCCUGUCCAAAAAUCUGCCAGGGCAGGAGCUGCCUGUCCAAAAUUCAGCCAGGACCUGCGCUAGACAUUGUGUAGCCUACACGUCUUGCUUCUUUCAAACUCUGACCUGAGCCCCCAAUACAUUGAGUUUACAUAGAUGUAUUUUUGGACCAUGGUUUACAUAUAUAAUGUAUACAAAAAAUUAAGUACACCUGCUCUUUACAUGACAUCCAGGUGAAAGCUAUGAUCUCUUAUUGAUGUCACCUGUUAAAUCCACUUUAAUCAGUAUAGAUGAAGGGGAGGAGGUAGGCUACAGAAGGAUUUGAAGGGGGUAUGGUAGUAGGUGCCAGGCGCACCAUUUUGAGUUUGUCAAGAACUGCAACGCUGCUGGGGUUUUUUAAGCUCAAGUUUCCUGUGUGUAACAAGAAUGGUCCAGCACCAGCCAACUUGAUACAACUGUGGAAAGUAUUGGAGUCAACAUUAGCCGGCAUCCCUGUGGAACGCUUUGGACACCUUGUACAGGCUGUUCUGAGGGAAAAAGGAG
rnacentral:lncRNA from 1 species